rnacentral:rRNA from 1 species
GAUGAACGCUGGCGGCGUGCCUAAUACAUGCAAGUCGAGCGAACAGACGAGGAGCUUGCUCCUCUGACGUUAGCGGCGGACGGGUGAGUAACACGUGGAUAACCUACCUAUAAGACUGGGAUAACUUCGGGAAACCGGAGCUAAUACCGGAUAAUAUAUUGAACCGCAUGGUUCAAUAGUGAAAGACGGUUUUGCUGUCACUUAUAGAUGUAUCCGCGCCGCAUUAGCUAGUUGGUAAGGUAACGGCUUACCAAGGCGACGAUGCGUAGCCGACCUGAGAGGGUGAUCGGCCACACUGGAACUGAGACACGGUCCAGACUCCUACGGGAGGCAGCAGUAGGGAAUCUUACGCAAUGGGCGAAAGCCUGACGGAGCAACGCCGCGUGAGUGAUGAAGGUCUUCGGAUCGUAAAACUCUGUUAUUAGGGAAGAACAAAUGUGUAAGUAACUAUGCACGUCUUGACGGUACCUAAUCAGAAAGCCACGGCUAACUACGUG